UGAUGCUUAGGGAGUAUUAAAUUGAAGGCCAAAAACCAUCCCCUGAACAUUGACCUUAGAGCAGUGAUGAUGGUGAGCACUUUCUGUACAGCUGUGACAAUUCGGGCCAAAAAAAAAAAAAUUUCCAAUUGGAAAAAAAACAAACGUGGAGGACUGCUGACCAGUUAUAAUUAUCCUUCCUCUGUUUAGGCAACAGCAACCAGCCCAACUUGUUGCAGGCAACAAAGCCUAUCCCUGCUCCCAGCCUCUGGCCUCUGUGCGAGUGGCAGCCCCAGGGGAAGGGCAGCAGGCUUUGGGCAAUGCUGCCCCUUCUACACAGCUGAAUUUGCCUGGGGGAGCAAGGCAGGUGGUGGUGAGAAGUGGGUGGUGCUGUGUGGACCCCCUGCACACACAUUUCGGGUGGGUUCAGGGCCUGGUUCAGCACGGAGGGAGGGCAGGAGCCCUGCUUGAGGAGCAGGAGCUCAGAGCCAGCUCCUGAUUCAGGCUCUGAGUGGGCUCGUUUCACAGCUCUCCCAGUGAAUCUUUGAAAUUGGAUAAGAGCAAAGCCACAGUCGGAGAAGCUUCUUGCAUUUCUCAGCGCGGAGCCACUGCUGUUUCAUUAUGAUCUAGUGUUUCAUCGACCAAACCUCGGCUUGGGAACGAGCACAGAGACGUGGUAAAAUACGAUCUGUGAAAAGCUGAUACGUUGAAGAACAAAAAGCUAGAACCACGAAUUAAAAGAGUUGGGUGGUCUUAUAAUUAAAGAACCUCUUUUUUUUCCCCCUUUAAACUUAUUACGGCUGUGAACCUGAAACUAGCAGAUAUCCUCAAGAGGCAAGAGGAAAAAGCAGCGAGCAUGGGGCCGCCUGCCCCGGGCAUGGUGAGGCAAUGCUGAAGCCUUCAUCUGUGGCUGACGUGCUCUGGAGGCUACCAAGCACAGCUGGGACUUGCCAUUGCUGAGGGGAGACUUUGGCCACCUCCCAGGUGACGCUGUGGAUUGAUUCGGCUGAAAGGUUUGAAACCAGCAAGGAGCCUCACUAUAAUUUCGCGAUAUUGUUCAGCUUUUUUUUUUUUUUAAAGUAAGCAGGCGAAGAGGUUCAGAAAGCGGCACAACCAGCUAACCAGAAACAAAAAUAGCUGAGGAAAUAACAAAAUAGAUGGAUGCCGGGCCUCUAUGACCAUGUUGAGGCAAAAUAACAGUAAAACAAAAAAAAAAAAAAAAAAAAGAAGAAGAAGAAGAAGAAAAAAAAGCGGUGGAGUCUGAAGCAAUGUGUACAGGAAUUCUGUUGUUGUUUCUUGCUCCUACGCACAUGCCAUUCGCGUGAGGUGCUGUGUGUGCUCCGCUCGUGUGGCUGCCAACGUCACCGUCUGGCACCGCGCAGGUCUUCCUGUCCCGUGUCCUGGCUUGAGCUGCAUCCCCCAGCACGAGGAGCUGGGGCAUGGAAGGAGCCUGGGAGGUGAGGUAUUUUCCAGCCGCCGCAGCGAGCCCUCUAGGAAACAUGUACCUAAGAGGGAUUUUAUGAAGCACAGACAACUUGUGCAAAACAUUCUGGAGGCUGAGGAUUUCAACUUUGUAUGAGAUUCGUGGUAUUUUACUGACUUCAGUUGCUGCAAUGAGACGAGCCGGCUGUAUUACAGCCAGUGGUUCUGCUUCCUCCUUGGAAAGGGCCUGUGGUAAAUGGCAGUGCGUGCGAGACACCACUCACACUACGGUUGUGCGUGAAGCCUCCUCUGGAUGAUCUGAUAGCUUCAUAGCACCCGGCAGCCUAAUCUGGCUUCGAAACACAGAGUUUCUCCCUCUUCUGACUCCACGAAGACAAGUAACGUUUGGAAAGCUUUCCCAACAAACCGAGAUAAGGUUCGCUGCCUCUGAAAGUAUGCAUUGUUAGUAGCCGCAUGGAUAUUUACAAACCUACCGUCAAAAAUAAACAUGCCGUGGAACCGGACUGGAAGCCAAGAAAAACUGAUCUGACAUCCAGCAACACGGGCUGCAGCGCUGGGCUUCACGAGCUGUGUGUGGGAAGCCUCCCAAGUUUAGAUGCUCCUCCAGGCCCUGCAAGCAGAGAGGUGCUCCAUGGUUGGUUAUCUUUCAGUUUGGUUGACUGGUCUCUCAUGAAAUUUGGCUUGGUUUGGUCUUGUUCACUCUUCUCAGCUGUUUUAGCUCUCCUGGAGGGACGCGGAUGAAAUUGCAGCCUCGUGGUGGAGACACGUGCCUGGUCGAUGGGUUGGGACCCUUCAUCUCUCCUUAAGCGCGGGUUUUAAGUUGUCAUGCAAAGUGAAAUGUUGUCAGCGGGUGAAACUGAGCUGUGCCUUCCUUCCUCCCUUUGCGUGUCAUCUCACACGCUUCAGGACACAAGGUGGGGGGUCGGGCUCCUUUGCAUAGAGAACGGGAAAAUAUCGGAUCUCCCGUGGUAAAUAGGAAGCCUUUAUCUCUCAGCACUGAAUAAAUAAUCCUGCAGAAAUACCGAAAACGAUCAAAGAACAAGUGAAUCUUUUAGCUUUCCUUAUAUUUGCUUUUCCCACUUUUAUUUUUCUUACCAUCAGUUUGUGUUUAUUAGGUCCUGCAAACUUCUGAUUUAUUUUUCAAGGAUACCCGAUGAAUAUUUGAUGCCAAACACCCGAUCACUUAGGCCUGUGAUCCAAAACUGGUGUCACAAGCAGUGCUCAGGGCUGCCCUGUGUCUUAUGCAGCCCUGUAAAAGAACAAAUCUGACAGGUAGGUGAGAGGCUUUGAGCCGAUCUGGAGGUGAUACGAUAUGAUAUGAUGCGAUAUGGUGCUACCAAAAUGCUUGGUGUGGAUUCUUUUACUGAAAAAAUAAUAAAGAAUUUGCAAUGGUUGCUCACAUUAAAGAGAAGGCCCAGUACUAUCACAAAGCAGACAGAAGUGUGGACAGCUAAUGGUGGUAGACUCCUUGCUACUAAAACAAAAGGUAGGCAGAGGUUCCUGGGACUUGCUCCUCACAGUUUUUGUUCCUGGCAAAGGGCUCAUCAAGGACAGGACACAUCGAAGGACUGAGAACUUUUUUUAGUUGUGGCAACAAGAGCACCGGUGACACGUAAACACAAGCCCCAGAUAAGCUGGAAAGGUUAUCUUUCAUUCAAAAGGCAUCCUUGCCAUAAACCAAGUUGGACACAGCUUGUACACUUCCCAAAGGGAGGAAAUCUUCCUCUCGUGUGCCCAGGAACAGCAACGUCCAUUUGCUGUGUACCCGUUUUUGCCUGCCUCUAAGCGAACACUGCGCUGGUCUCUCUUGGGGAUGGCAUACCUCUGGGCACAGCAACAGCACCCAUGGACAUGCACGGCUCUGUGCUAAAUGUACUUCACGCCAGAAACAUCGAGGAAUCUCUUAAGCACUCACGGGGACACCUCAGGAGCCAGAGGCUUUCAGGAGAGCUCAAACCAUGCUUCGGCAUCUAAAAAAGGGACAGAGUUUCAGCAUCCCAUGCCUGUAGCCAGAGAGGUGACUUCUGUGAGCAGGCAGAAUACUUCAGAAAACCCAGCAUCUAUUUUCAGUGCUGAAAACAUGUGAGAGGCUCUGGAAAUCCUUCUAGGGCUGAGGCUUGGUGUCCCUCUGAAUGUCUGAUCUCUCGGUUUUUGUCAGUCUCUCUCUGCAGUGAGUAAAUCAUGCGGCCACCGGGGUUUUCGGAUGGGUAUUUUCUGCAGUUUAUCUGCACACGAACAUCUUGCCGUGCUCUUCGAGUGGCCACGUGCCUCGAUAGAGCAGCUGCCUCUUCUGCUUCAUUAGAAGAAACAAAGAGGGGAAACGGUGCUGCAAUGCGGGCUGGAAAAUGCCAAGGGCAAACGGUACGAUGCUGGCAUGGCCACUGAGAACUUGGUGUGCUGGAGGUAUGGACCUAAAACUGCCAUUAUCGAAGGAGAAGGGGCAGGGUACAGUAGAUUAUAGUGGGGAAAAAAAGUCCUGGGUAAUACAGGCUGUGGGAAAUGUUGAGUCUGGAUGCCUGAAAGGGUCUUCAUGGGAGCAGCCAGCAUCCAGCCAGCUGCGGGGCCGGGUUUGGGUCAACACGGCCUUACUCCUUUGGGUCCUCCCAAACGCAUCUGGAGCCCACCCCACACCUGCACCAACUGAGGGAAAUGACACAGCAGCCGCUGCCGAGAGGGUGCUGCCGUGCUUCCUCUCGAGCCGCAGAGAGGUUUUAACUGCUGUGCCUCGCUUCCUGCCCCCUGCGAUACUGCUUUCUCCGUGCUGCCCUGCAUUCGCCCUGGGGACAAGGGCAAGGAGGAAGGAGAGCCCAGAUGCUCGGGUUCAAAAGCUCCCAGAAACAAAAGGUCCCCCCCUUCCUCUUCCUCAGGGGCUGCUGGCUGCAGCUGGCUGCCCCUUCGCCUUGGCUUUGCCCUGCCAAAGGAUGCAGUGAAAGGAGUUCCCCGAGCGAAGCACCGGGGUUUCACCGCGCUCCUGAAUCACGCCGCUUUCUCUCGGUGACGUGCCGGCGGUGCCUGCCAGAAAGCCCUGCCAGCCACCACCUUCCGCUCUAAAGGUUACUCGGCGGCGUCAAGGGAUUCCCUCAAACGGCUGCAAAAAGUCUCUCUGAGCAAAUUACGAAGCUUUAAUAUUUUUUAUAUAUUUUUUUUUCCUUUCUGAAGGAGAGGAUUUGUGUUACCAUAGCCGUUGAGCCCCUGUCCUUCUCCAGCUGAGCCUGCGGCUCUGCCCGGCCUCCCAAAAUGAUUUAACCACGUCACCAGAUUUUCCCAAGGAAAGCCGAGGUGCAGCUACAGGUGACCCUGAAGACAAUCCUCUCUGUGACCACAGUCUCUUUUUUAAUCACACAACCGUGACUCAGUCGCUUGCAGGAGGUCUUUCCAGGCGCCUGGGCACGGUGCGGAUGGGGCGGGUGUACCUCGUCCCGCUGUGAGCGCCUGCAGAUAGCUCUGUUUGCUCUGGGCUCCCUUUAUCGUCAGCGGGGAAUAGCAGGCGUUCCCGUGCCGUGAGUCAUCCCCUCUCUUUUAGACGUUGUCUACCCAAGGAUGAGGCCAACUGUGUCCUAGAAAUGCCUGCUUCUCCCCAUUUUCCAUACACAGCUGACUCAGGUGUAAAUGUUUCAGGCCUUUGUUUCCUAGUUGUUCUCAAACACAGAUGUUUUCAAAGGAAAAAGGAAUUUCCUCCUCCUCUCCCCUCUUCUUUUAUGAUCCUCAUCCACGGUUGUUUUGGGACUGCAGAUGAAUUCUGUCCUGUGAUACAUCAGGGACUAGCCCUCUCUGCUCCCUCCUCCCAGCUGUGAUUUAAGAACCCAAAUCUGGAAGACUGGUUGCAUGGCAUCCUUUGAAGGAGUGGGUGACCGAGUCUUGAUGCAAUAGCUGUGCUUCAGCUAGGAAAAAAUGUUGCUUGCCUACAAGAAUUUCCUCUCUUUGAUGUGUUGAAUGCGUAUUUACAUUCUGCCACGGAUCAGGGAGCUGUAGGCACCGUACAAAAAUAAGUCGCAGAUGCCAUUGUUCUCCAGUUGGUCUGCUCCUUCCUAGCCACCUCUCUGGAGCAGAUAGCUGGAUUCUUGUUUGGGGGCCUGGGGAGUUUCAAGACAGGGCUUCUGUCUGGUAUUUCCCCAUUAUCGUGGCCCUGAUUUGGUGACAUAUCUGCAUGCCUGGCUCCAGCCAGAGGGGGCCACUCAUGAACAUGGGAUUGGGCAUGGGCUUGGGCCCUCGGCUGUAUCAGGACCUUCCUAAAGAAUAAGACACCAUGCGGUUCCUCUCUUUCCUGCUGCUUACUUAUUGCUGGUGUUUCUACUCCCUAUAGGUGCUGGGAAAGACAUGUUCUUGCUUUCAGUCAGAAAUGAUAUCACCACCUGCCCUUAGCAAUGUUAUUCUCUUGCCUCCCGAGCUUAGGCAAUACUGCAACAUGCCUAAACAGCGCAUCCACAACAAGUAAUGGCAUCAUCUUGCUUUCAAAACAAACCUGUGGUGGGUGGAAUUAGCCAUGCUGAAUGAUGUUGGCCUGAUUGAUAACGAUCAGUGAAGAAACUGCUUCAGCUAUUCAGUCAUUCACCUCUGGUCACCCUCAUUUUGGAGAGGGUGGGAACUAGUUGUACUCUGUGUCUUCAUACCACCAAGAGGAAGAACUGCUGAUGUUUUUUAGUCAAGUACCCAUUUAGAUGGGUCAUUGGUAAAGAACGGGGGAAAAAGAGGGGCAUUUUCACAUCACCUGUUGUGGUUGUCCCUAAUCUGUCUCCUCGGCUUAUUUCUGCCUUCUGCCCCUAAUGCAAAUCUGGCUGCUCCCUUGAACAGCACAAACCACAAAACACCUGCCUGCAGCCUGUCCUGUGCACAUAUAGACGUGGUAUUUCCUUCCUGAGCUAAAAGGAUAUCUGAGUAAAGGGAAGAGCACUCCGUUUGUGGUAAACAGUUUGGCGGAGUUUUUGCCUGUUAUGUGCAUCCAGUUUCUCAGAAAUGUGUGAGAAUGAGUUCAAAGAACAUCCAGAUGGCUCUGUCGUCUCCAAGUCUGCUCUUCCACCUUUCCAGAGGACAGCUGCCUGGAGAGCAGUGUAACUUGGUGCUGCAUUCUCCAUCCAACACGAAGCAGAAGAGAUGGGACUAUCUCUGUCCUUCACUUCUCCAUAAGCAAAAUUUCUAUAGGUGGGGCAAAACAAAAAGUCUAUGUUUUAGGAUGCCUAAUGUCUCCCAUUACAUAAAACCUUGUGUUAAGAUGGCUAGACAUUUGCCAGACUGCAACUGUUUGAAAUCAAGUUUUUCAUUGCAGGUGUCUUCAUCAGCUGGAAGGGACGUCCACUGAAAUGUUUUCUAGAAAAAGGGUGUCAAGCCUGCACAGAGCACACAGAAAAGCACUUACUGCCUUGAGUGUGCACUGCUCUCGAACACAGAAUGGAAACCAAGCUGGAGAGUCCUACAGUUGUUCUGCUGCCAACAAAGCCUCCUGAAAUGUGCUAAUUGCAUGUCUGCCUAUGUAUGGUUUGGUAACAGGGAUGCCCAAACUACAUGUAUAUGUAAAUUACAAGUAAGUGUAUCUAAGAGUUUAUCUUGAAGUGCA